CACCACAGAUCUCUGCAGUGUCUGCCUGCUCUAAACAGGCAGAACAUCAGCUGGAGGGCACUUAAGCCCUGCCCUGCAAGUGACAGCUCUCAUCUGCUUCCCUGCUUCCUCCAGAAAAAGAUGCAGAAUCAUGGAUCUGUGGACCCUCAUAUGAAGGCCAUCAAAUUCUGCCUCUUCAAAAGGUGUCUGAAAAGUGACUACUGCCAGCUGCAAAAAGUGGCAUGAGUGAAGAAGUCUCUGUUUCUCUUCCAUCAACCGUCAGACAGUAUCUACAGCAAAGGUGUCAGUCACCAACACAUUUUAUAUAUUUUUGUGACCCACAUCGUAUUUUUAGAUUCUGCAGAAUGCAAUCCUUUUUUUUUUUGGCAAAGCAACACUUCAAAAUGUUAUGUAAGCAAAAUGAGAAACAAAAGUGUACCUAAAACAACAUUGGCUUCCUGAGUCUGCAGACAAUUUGAAACAAUGACACAGAGAGCUGUGAACUCUUCUACCCCCAUUAACUUCAUUUGAGCGUUAACUCAAAAAUCCAACAACAACACGUGAAAUGACAACAUUACUCAUUUCAUCUCUCACCAGUAGAGUGAAUGGAUGACGAAGAGGGACAGGAAUGAAGCCAAGGAGGGAGUUGCUGCAGGGGAUAAAGCGCAGAAGGAAGAAAAGAGGGCACAUGCAAAGAGACAGGGACAAGAAAAAAAAAAAAAGCAGGGUUGUGAAGAAAGGGAAA